AGCUUUGGGGUGUUACCACGUUAGAUUGCAAAUCUUAAGAAGCAGGUGAAAGGCCCGCCGGAGCUU
rnacentral:tRNA from 1 species